rnacentral:tRNA from 1 species
GGGGGUUUAGCUCAGUGGCAUAAGCACCUGCCUUGAAAGCAGGCAGUCGUGAGUUUGAUCCCCG